rnacentral:lncRNA from 1 species
CUUUUUCCUUCUUCACCGUUCACAACCAAACCGAAAACCCACUUACCACACCCUCCAAUAACCCCUCUUGCCCUUCCUCUCACCUCCACCAUUACCACCACCGUGCCAUUUACGCCGUUGCCAACUCGGUUCAACCUCCAUAAAUAGCCACCGACUCAACCACUCCAGGUUAGUAUCGAGUCGACAUGCUCUCUGAAUCGCUCCCCUUCAUUCAGAAAUUUCGCGGCAAAACUAUAGUCGUCAAGUAUGGUGGCGCCGCCAUGAACAAGGCCGAGGCCACCACCGCAGGUCUCUCCGCCUUCGAUGGUUGCAUCCUCACCGCCUGUCCCAACCCUAAGGCCGCCGAUCUAGGCUUCGUAGGUGAGGUCGCCAGAGUCGACCCCGCGGUCCUCCGCUCCUUCAUCGCACCAGCCACAUCCCGGUCGUCACCUUCGUUGCCGCCGACGAGUCCGGAGAUCCUACAACAUUAACGCCGACACUGUUGCUGGAGAACUGCUGUAGUGCUUGGCGCGGAGAAGCUGAUUCUGCUGACAGACGUGGCGAGGAUCCAGGAGGAUUGAAAUGAUCCAAACAUCUUGGUGAAGAAGAGUGACGAAAAUGGUUAAAGAGGGAAAAGUUGGAGAUGGAAUGAUACCUAGGGUUAAUUGUUGCGUGAGAUCGCUGACACAAGGGGUUCCUACCGCGAGUAUUCUUAUCUGCUUGUAUUUGGAUAUGAUCUUGUAGCUUUCACGCUAGAAUUUUGUGGCUUAUUGAUAUUUCUGAUGCCCUUCGUUUAUGGCAUCUCUUUCAGGAAAAUCUUCAACUCUAACUCACUUAUGCAAAGGCCAGGGAAAUCACUGAUGUAAAUCAAGUUUCAUGAGGAGUUCUCCAAUCUAGGUACAUCUAAUAUAAUGCUAUUCCUAUGUAUAUCUUCCACUUAGAUUUUUCUCUCAUCGUUUUGGAUUUCCUGCAAAUCUUAUGGGGUCUGUCACAUCAUCAUCGUUUCUCCAAAUAAAAUUAUCUUAGAUUUGCAAGCUUUUGUGCAUAUAUAAUUAAUUUAUAUAUUAUUGAAGCGUGAUAACAAUGGAGGUGCGAACGCAAACUGUGUAUUGUUGAAGUAUUUGUUUCACUUGUCAGCCUGCUGUGUUUGGUUUUCAAACUCUAAAUAAUCGAUAAUCUGUGUAUACUAAAGACAAGAUAAAAAAUCUUUGAAGCCUGCUUCGAUCCAAUUGACUUAAUUAGUGAAACUUUGUCACGCUCCAUACCAUAAUUUUAGUAUCGGAGAAAGAUUUGGAGCAAUCAUGUUAUGCGCCUAAGUUGCAUGCGCAUGUAAAGGGAUUAACUAAACACAUCUACAGUUAAUGGAAUAGAGAAGCAUACAUAAGUUCUUAUGAACUUAAAAAUAAGUUGAUGUUACAUUAAACAUUUGAAAGGAAUAGAGAAGCGUGAAUAAGCUUAUAUUUAUGUUGUUUUACUUUGUUCUCUGUUAAG